GACGAACGCUGGCGGCGCGCCUAACACAUGCAAGUCGAACGAGCGAGAGAGAGCUUGCUUUCUCGAGCGAGUGGCGAACGGGUGAGAACGCGUUAGGAACCUGCCCCCAAGAGGGGGAAAACAGUUGGAAACGACUGCCAAUUCCCCAAAAGCCCACGGCUCGGCAUCGAGCAGGGGGAAAAGGAGCAAUCCGCCUUGAGAUGGCCUCGCGUCCGAUUAGCUAGUUGGUGAGGUAACGGCCCACCAAGGCGACGAUCGGUAGCCGGACUGAGAGGUUGAACGGCCACAUUGGGACUGAGACACGGCCCAGACUCCUACGGGAGGCAGCAGUGGGGAAUAUUGCACAAUGGGGGAAACCCUGAUGCAGCGACGCCGCGUGGAGGAAGAAGGUCUUCGGAUUGUAAACUCCUGUUGUUGGGGAAGAUAAUGACGGUACCCAACAAGGAAGUGACGGCUAACUACGUG
rnacentral:rRNA from 1 species